GAUGAACGCUGGCGGCGUGCCUAACACAUGCAAGUCGAACGGAGAUUACGGACGGAAGUUUUCGGAUGGAAGCCUGUAAUUCUUAGUGGCGGACGGGUGAGUAACGCUUGGGCAACCUGCCCUAUACAGGGGGAUAGCAGCUGGAAACGGCUGGUAAGACCGCAUAAGUCGGUUAAAUCGCAUGAUUUGAUCGGGAAAUGAGCAAUCAGGUAUAGGAUGGGCCCGCGUCCGAUUAGCCAGUUGGCAGGGUAAAAGCCUACCAAAGCGACGAUCGGUAGCCGGACUGAGAGGUCGGACGGCCACAUUGGGACUGAGACACGGCCCAAACUCCUACGGGAGGCAGCAGUGGGGGAUAUUGCACAAUGGAGGAAACUCUGAUGCAGCGACGCCGCGUGAGUGAAGAAGUAUUUCGGUAUGUAAAGCUCUAUCAGCAGGGAAGAUGAUGACGGUACCUGACGAAGAAGCCCCGGCUAACUACGUG
rnacentral:rRNA from 1 species